CUACAUUGAUGAUUUCUUAGUUGAACUCUCUCUUUCUGAUGGCUUAGUGGAGAAAGGACAAAGAUUCUGAGUAGC